rnacentral:misc_RNA from 1 species
GAGAGAGAGAGAGAGAGAGAGAGCCUUUACAACUGCAUUUCAGGUGCAUCUAUUUAGGCCUUCACUAACAUUUUGUGUUUUUAUAUCCAUAAAUACAUUUGAGCAAGAUUUAAAUUUUGUUUGUUAUUGUCUUUUAUACCAAAUUCAUUGCCUUUGAUGUAAGUCUAUAGCAUGAUGUAAAUCGUUGUGUUCGCUGUAUCUUUUUGCAGG